rnacentral:rRNA from 1 species
UGGGGAAUAUUGCACAAUGGGCGCAAGCCUGAUGCAGCCAUGCCGCGUGUGUGAAGAAGGCCUUCGGGUUGUAAAGCACUUUCAGCGGGGAGGAAGGCGGUGAGGUUAAUAACCUCAUCGAUUGACGUUACCCGCAGAAGAAGCACCGGCUAACUCCGUGCCAGCAGCCGCGGUAAUACGGAGGGUGCAAGCGUUAAUCGGAAUUACUGGGCGUAAAGCGCACGCAGGCGGUCUGUCAAGUCGGAUGUGAAAUCCCCGGGCUCAACCUGGGAACUGCAUUCGAAACUGGCAGGCUAGAGUCGUGUAGAGGGGGGUAGAAUUCCAGGUGUAGCGGUGAAAUGCGUAGAGAUAUGGAGGAAUACCGGUGGCGAAGGCGGCCCCCUGGACAAAGACUGACGCUCAGGUGCGAAAGCGUGGGGAGCAAACAGG